UUAGUGGCGGACGGGUGAGUAACGCGUGGAAAACCUGCCGUAUACUGGGGGAUAACACUUAGAAAUAGGUGCUAGUACCGCAUAAGCGCACAGCUUCGCAUGAAGCGGUGUGAAAAACUCUGGUGGUAUACGAUGGUUCCGCGUCUGGUUAGCUAGUUGGUGGGGUAAUGGCCUACCAAGGCAACGAUCAGUAGCCGGCCUGAGAGGGUGAACGGCCACAUUGGGACUGAGACACGGCCCAAACUCCUACGGAAGGCAGCAG
rnacentral:rRNA from 1 species